CAUGUAUAUAUAUACAUAUUUCUUUGAAGAUGUGACAUUGUUCUUUGUAACAGAAACAGGGUAUAGAUAAGAUAGCUACUACUUCCUUUCGCUUCCGUUAAAUUUAUAUCUGUUAAACGUUAUUAUGAAUAUGAUGCAGCAUGUUUUUAUAUUUUCUUCCGAGUAAGAGCUCGUUAAAUUUCUACCAAUUGAAUGUUUUAUUGUAGCGUUUAAAAUUUAUGACAUCAAAAAUUUUUGCCAAAUUAUAUGUUUUAUUUAUGUUCAAUUAAGUUUAUUUGCGAAAUGUACGUACUUAACUAUACGUAGUUUACAUUAUUCUUUGUUAAAAAGACUGCAAUAAAAAUUAAACUAUGGGUCAUAAGUGGCAAGUAAUAUGUACAAUAGGAUGACGAGAGUAAUAAUAUGUAAUGACAGCUUAUUGUGUCGACGUCGCUCCAGAGUCCUACUCUACGGCGAAAAGAAUAAUGGAUUUGACGUGUUAUAUCAUAACAUGAAGCAUGGUGUAAUCGCGAGCAAGGAGUUGGCUGAGUUUUUAAAAGAGCGAUCAGCCAUAGAAGAAAACAAUUACAAGCUCCUGAGUAAGGUAGCUAAACAAGCUGGCAAUAGUAGUAGUACGCAAGGAACAUUUGCGCCUGUUUGGGCUGCUUUAAGAGGCGCAGCGGAAAAACUUGCCGGCUUGCACUUGCAGAUGGCCCAGAAGGUUGCCGAACUAAUAAAAGAUGUAUCAAAAUAUGCGGAUGAAUUACAUAAGAAACACAAGGCUGUAAAAGAGGAAGAAUCAUCCACAUUGGAAGUCGUACAAAGUAUACAAAGUAUUACCGUAACUUUACAUAAAGCUAAAGAUAUGCGUAUGCAAAAGGGUCUUGAGCUGGAAAAAUUGAGAAAGGACAACGCCAGUCAAAAGGAAUUAGAAAAAGCAGAAAUAAAAUUUAAAAAGGCACAGGACGAUUAUAAAACUUUGGUCGAUAAAUAUAUGGUGAUCAGAAAUGAUUUUCAGACCAAAAUGACUCAAGCAUGCAGGCGAUUCCAAGACGUGGAGGAGACACAUUUAAAACAUAUGAAGGAGUUUUUAAAUAUCUACGCCGAUGUUUUGCAAACGAAUCACGAACAAGUUGGCCAAGUGCACAUAGACUUCAAACGCCAGUGCCUGGAUAUGACAGUGGACAAGUUAUUAGAACAAUUUGUUCAAAGCAAAUAUACAGGUUUCGAGAAACCAGGUAUGAUCGAAUACGAAGAAGUCAUGACAGGUUUAGGGGAAAUAACCAGUCAUUCUCAAUCGGAAAGCAACGUUGAGACACCUAAGGAAACAUCGAAAGGAGCAAAUGGAGAAACAGGCGUUGCUGGUAACAUUCACAGUUCAAAAAAAGAUCAGGGAUUAAAGGGGGAGGGUUGUCAGGUGGACGAGGAAAAGGGGAGGGUACAAGAGAAAGAGAAAGAAAAAGAAAAAGAGAAAGAGAAAGAAAAAGAGAACGAAAGACUGAACGAAAGGGACAGAGAACUGUCACAUGCACAAGCCACCAAGGCUUCCCGCCGUACUACCUCGCUACUCAACCUGUUCAUGUCCAACUCCCAGGACAAACAGAAGCAAGCAGGGUCUGGUUCGGCACCUGCAACUCCUCAGGGGAACAACCUGCCUCCUGCUGUUCCACCUCCCAGCAUCUCCAGGAACCCUCUCAGAGGAUCUAAAUGGUUUCUUCGCAGCAGGAGAGAAAAAAGAAAGGAAAAGAAAGCGAAAAAGAAGAAGGAUGUCGUGGAAACCAGCAGCAACAAAGAAGAAAAGUCUGACCUGGAGGAUAAGGAGGACAGUAGAAAGUCCGAGACGCCGACGCCGGAGGUAGACGAAGACGGUUUUUGUAUUAGGCCAAAAUCGGAGCCAUGGGAGGACGAGAAAGGAUUUUAUUCUAGCUCGGACACCGAUUCCGAGGACGAAAGGGAGAGAAAGAUCAGGGUGGAAAUCAAACCUCUGAGCAACGGUGGAGCACCCAUGAGUGCCAGCGUGGACGAAUUAAGGGCGACCGUGGAGAACCUGUCGUUAUCGCCUGCACCGACGGGACGCAGAGGAUCGAAUACCGAUUCAGAUCAUCAGAUGAAAAGGUCUCAGUCAGUGUCACAGCAAUUAGGAGGUAAGCCAAGCUCGGAUUUACUUGGCCUAAACUUGUUCAAUCCCAGCAGUACACCAUCGAGCGCCUCAACGCCGACCGGUAGUCAUCCGUACGUGUCGUUGCAAAGUCCUCCGCCAUUGUCUUUGUCACCGACGCCUCAACCACAGCCGCCGCAAUCCGCACCACCUACGCAUCCUCACUCGCGAUUCCCCGACGGAGACUUGUUCUCGGAAGUGGGAGACAUCACUCCGGCCUUACCACCGAAGCAGUCCGCAUCUUCCACCCCGACAGGGUCUAUUAUCAUCCCUAGACCCCCGUCCCGGCGAGGAGAAGGUCCUUCGCCGAGGGGUAGAAUGUCACCAGCGACGAUAUCUCGGGCAGACAGCGUAGCCAGUUUGGAAUUUCGAACAGCCGGCGUCGGCGUUGGUUCUUCCAGGGGACCUUCGCCGCUCACCAUAGGCCUGGCGGAUACCAUUCCUUUAGCAGUGGCGUUCCACGAGAUUGUUCACUCUUAUUUUCGGGGUACCGACGAAACGCGAUGUCAGGUGAAGCUUAGCGGUGACAUGAUGCUGUCUUUCCCGGCCGGUAUCGUCGCUGUGCUAGCGAAUAACCCGAGUCCCGCGAAGCUAACGUUUCGCGUGAGAAACAGUAACAGAUUAGAGAAAUUGUUUCCUAAUAAUCAGCUGGUCAGCAUGGACGUUACGCAAACGACCGUCGACAGUACAAUUUUUGAAUUCAACAUGAGUGCCUUAACUACGCUGUUACGCAAACAGGCCGAACAAAAUCCCUCGGCUUCGUAUUUUAACGUCGACAUACUGAAAUAUCAGAUCAAGUGCAAGGAAGGUGCGAGCUCUUGUCCGUUUCAGUUGGUGGCUUAUUGGAAAUGCGAAACGACUCACACCGACCUUAAGAUCGAUUAUAAAUACAAUAGUCGCGCUAUGGCUUCUCCGAGUCCACUGCUGAAUCUCCACAUAGCGGCGCCUAUAGACGGGGGCUUCAAAUCGUUGAACAGCAAACCUCAAGCUCAAUGGUUACCGGACACGAACCGUGUGUUGUGGAAAUUUACCGAGUUAUCGCAGCACAGCGAAGGUAACGGUGUGGGCUCUUUGAAAGCGCGUGUCGAGCUUGGACACGGGCCAGGAAAUCAAGGAACGAUAUUCACGCAAUUCAAUUGCGAAGGGACCACGUUAUCCGGAGUUGAAUUCGAGCUUCUGGGCCCGGGAUAUAGAUUAAGUUUGGUGAAGCGUAGAUUCGUAUCCGGCAAAUACAUGUGCGACGGAGAUUCCGACUCGCGGAGUAGAUACGCCGCUCCGCCAUCCAACGUGGAUUGACGACUUCCAGAUUGGGCGUGCCUAUCGGAGAGCCUGCCCAUUUAAUAUUGCUCUCCAAAAGGUCAUCAAACAGUACAACAAGUCUUAAUCAUAUUGUUAUACUUUGCGUUAUUUUAAUAUAAUUAUUACAUCGCUACAUUGUAUCGUUAAGAAUUUGAGAGAGAAGGGAAAAUGUAAAGUAUAUGUAAACGCCAACUAAUUACCGACGUGUACAUUAGCAUUUACAGUCUGCACGAGGAUUGAUUGUAUGUCCUUGAACCGUA
rnacentral:misc_RNA from 1 species